AUGUUGCCACUGGUGAUGGUGCCACUGGUGUUGGUGCUGGUACUGGUGUUGGUGCUGGUGCCACUGGUGCUGGUGUUGGUGUUGGUGCUGGUACUUGUGAUGGUGCCACUGGUGCUGGUGUUGGUGUUGGUGCUGGUACUGGUGAUGGUGCCACUGGUGCUGGAGUUGGUGCUGGUGCUGGUACUGGUGUUGGUGCUGGUGCUGGUGCUGGUGUUGGUGUUGGUGUUGGUGCUGGUACUGGUGUUGGUGUUGGUGUUGGUGUUGGUGUUGGUGUUGGUGCUGGUGUUGGUGCUGGUACUGGUGUUGGUGUUGGUGCUGGUGUUGGUACUGGUGAUGGUGCCACUGGUGCUGGUGUUGGUGUUGGUGAUGGUGUUGGUGCUGGUACUGGUGUUGGUGUUGGUGCUGGUGUUGGUGUUGGUGCUGGUACUGGUGUUGGUGUUGGUGUUGGUGUUGGUGCUGGUGUUGGUGCUGGUACUGGUGUUGGUGUUGGUGCUGGUGUUGGUACUGGUGAUGGUGCCACUGGUGCUGGUGUUGGUGUUGGUGAUGGUGUUGGUGCUGGUGUUGGUGCUGGUACUGGUGUUGGUGUUGGUGCUGGUGUUGGUACUGGUGAUUUUGCCACUGGUGAUGGUGUUGGUGUUGGUGAUGGUACUGGUACUAGUGAUGGUGAUGGUGCCACUGGUACUGGUGCUGGUGCCACUGGUGAUGGUACCACUGGUGCUGGUACUGGUGCUGGUGAUGGUGCAACUGGUGUUGGCGCCACUGGUGCUGUUACUGGUGAUGGUGCCACUGGUGCUGGUACUGGUGUUGGUGCCACUGGUGCUGGUACUGGUGCUGGUGAUGGUGCCACUGGUGCUGGUACUGGUGAUGGUGCCACUGGUGUUGGUGCUGGUGCUGGUGUUGGUGUUGGUGCUGGUACUGGUGUUGGUGUUGGUGCUGGUGUUGGUACUUGUGAUGGUGCCACUGGUGCUGGUGUUGGUGCUGGUGCUGGUACUGGUGAUGGUGCCACUGGUGCUGGUGUUGGUGUUGGUGCUGGUACUGGUGAUGGUGCCACUGGUGCUGGUACUGGUGAUGGUGCCACUGGUACUGGUGCCACUGGUGAUGGUACCACUGGUGCUGGUACUGGUGCUGGUGAUGGUGCAACUGGUGUUGGUGCCACUGGUGCUGGUACUGGUGAUGGUGCCACUGGUGCUGGUACUGGUGCUGGUGUUGGUGCCACUGGUGCUGGUGAUGGUGCCACUGGUGCUGGUACUGGUGCUGGUGAUGGUGCCACUGGUGCUGGUACUGGUGAUGGUGCCACUGGUGUUGGUGCCACUGGUGCUGGUACUGGUGAUGGUGCCACUGGUGCUGGUGUUGGUGCCACUGGUGUUGGUGCCACUGGUGCUGGUACUGGUACUGGUUCUGGUGUUGGUGCCACUGGUGCUGGUACUGGUGCUGGUGCCACUGGUGCUGGUGCCACUGGUGCUGGUGUUGGUGCCACUGGUGCUGGUGCCACUGGUGCUGGUGUUGGUGCUGGUGAUGUUGCCACUGGUGAUGGUGUUGGUGUUGGUGAUGGUACUGGUACUGGUGAUGGUGAUGGUGCCACUGGUACUGGUGCUGGUUCCACUGGUGAUGGUACCACUGGUGCUGGUACUGGUGAUGGUGCCACUGGUGUUGGUGCCACUGGUGCUGGUAAUGGUGAUGGUUCCACUGGUGUUGGUGCCACUGGUGCUGGUACUGGUGCUGCUGUUGGUGCCACUGGUGCUGGUACUGGUGCUGGUACUGGUACUGGUUCUGGUGAUGGUGCCACUGGUGCUGGUGCCACUGGUGCUGGUGUUGGUGCCACUGGUGCUGGUGCCACUGGUGCUGGUACUGGUACUGGUUCUGGUGUUGGUGCCACUGGUGCUGGUACUGGUGCUGGUGAUGGUGCCACUGGUGCUGGUGCCACUGGUGCUGGUGUUGGUGCCACUGGUGAUGGUACCACUGGUGCUGGUACUGGUGCUGCUGUUGGUGCCACUGGUGCUGGUACUGGUGCCACUGGUGAUGGUACCACUGGUGCUGGUACUGGUGAUGGUGCCACUGGUGUUGGUGCCACUGGUGCUGGUAAUGGUGAUGGUUCCACUGGUGUUGGUGCCACUGGUGCUGGUACUGGUGCUGCUGUUGGUGCCACUGGUGCUGGUACUGGUGAUGGUGCCACUGGUGCUGGUGUUGGUGCCACUGGUGUUGGUGCCACUGGUGCUGGUACUGGUACUGGUUCUGGUGAUGGUGCCACUGGUGCUGGUGCCACUGGUGCUGGUGUUGGUGCCACUGGUGCUGGUGCCACUGGUGCUGGUACUGGUACUGGUUCUGGUGUUGGUGCCACUGGUGCUGGUACUGGUGCUGGUGAUGGUGCCACUGGUGCUGGUGCCACUGGUGCUGGUGUUGGUGCCACUGGUGAUGGUACCACUGGUGCUGGUACUGGUGCUGCUGUUGGUGCCACUGGUGCUGGUACUGGUGCCACUGGUGAUGGUACCACUGGUGCUGGUACUGGUGAUGGUGCCACUGGUGUUGGUGCCACUGGUGCUGGUAAUGGUGAUGGUUCCACUGGUGCUGGUACUGGUUCUGGUGUUGGUGCCACUGGUGCUGGUACUGGUGCUGGUGAUGGUGCCACUGGUGCUGGUACUGGUGAUGGUGCCACUGGUCUUGGUGCCACUGGUGCUGGUACUGGUGCUGCUGUUGGUGCCACUGGUGCUGGUACUGGUGAUGGUGCCACUGGUGCUGGUACUGGUGAUGGUGCCACUGGUGUUGGUGCCACUGGUGCUGGUACUGGUGAUGGUGCCACUGCUGGUACUGGUGAUGGUGCCACUGGUGAUGGUGCCACUGGUGCUGGUGUUGGUGCCACUGGUGUUGGUGCCACUGGUGCUGGUACUGGUGAUGGUUCCACUGGUGCUGGUACUGGUUCUGGUGUUGGUGCCACUGGUGCUGGUGUUGGUGCCACUGGUGCUGGUGCCACUGGUGCUGGUGAUGGUGCCACUGGUGCUGGUGCCACUGGUGCUGGUACUGGUGAUGGUGCCACUGGUGCUGGUACUGGUUCUGGUGUUGGUGCCACUGGUGCCGGUACUGGUACUGGUGAUGGUGCCACUGGUGCUGGUACUGGUUCUGGUGUUGGUGCCACUGGUGCUGGUACUGGUGCUGGUGUCGGUGCCACUGGUGCUGGUGUUGGUGCCACUGGUGCUGGUGCCACUGGUGCUGGUGCUGGUGCUGGUGAUGUUGCCACUGGUGAUGGUGUUGGUGUUGGUGAUGGUACUGGUACUGGUGAUGGUGAUGGUGCCACUGGUGCUGGUGCUGGUGCCACUGGUGAUGGUACCACUGGUGCUGGUGCCACUGGUGCUGGUACUGGUGCUGGUGUUGGUGCCACUGGUGCUGGUACUGGUGAUGGUGCCACUGGUGCUGGUGUUGGUGCCACUGGUGCUGGUACUGGUGAUGGUGCAACUGGUGCUGGUACUGGUGAUGGUGCCACUGGUACUGGUACUGGUGAUGGUGCCACUGGUGCUGGUACUGGUGAUGGUGCCAUUGGUGCUGGUACUGGUGCUGGUGUUGGUGCCACUGGUGCUGGUACUGGUGAUGGUGCCACUGGUACUGGUACUGGUGAUGGUGCCACUGGUACUGGUGCCACUGGUGAUGGUACCACUGGUGCUGGUACUGGUGCUGGUGAUGGUGCAACUGGUGUUGGUGCCACUGGUGCUGGUACUGGUGAUGGUGCCACUGGUGCUGGUGAUGGUGCCACUGGUGCUGGUACUGGUGCUGGUGAUGGUGAUGGUGCCACUGGUGCUGGUACUGGUGAUGGUGCCACUGGUGUUGGUGCCACUGGUGCUGGUACUGGUGAUGGUGCCACUGGUGCUGGUGUUGGUGCCACUGGUGUUGGUGCCACUGGUGCUGGUACUGGUACUGGUUCUGGUGUUGGUGCCACUGGUGCUGGUACUGGUGCUGGUGCCACUGGUGCUGGUGCCACUGGUGCUGGUGUUGGUGCCACUGGUGCUGGUGCCACUGGUGCUGGUGUUGGUGCUGGUGAUGUUGCCACUGGUGAUGGUGUUGGUGUUGGUGAUGGUACUGGUACUGGUGAUGGUGAUGGUGCCACUGGUACUGGUGCUGGUUCCACUGGUGAUGGUACCACUGGUGCUGGUACUGGUGAUGGUGCCACUGGUGUUGGUGCCACUGGUGCUGGUAAUGGUGAUGGUUCCACUGGUGUUGGUGCCACUGGUGCUGGUACUGGUGCUGCUGUUGGUGCCACUGGUGCUGGUACUGGUGAUGGUGCCACUGGUGCUGGUGUUGGUGCCACUGGUGUUGGUGCCACUGGUGCUGGUACUGGUACUGGUUCUGGUGAUGGUGCCACUGGUGCUGGUGCCACUGGUGCUGGUGUUGGUGCCACUGGUGCUGGUGCCACUGGUGCUGGUACUGGUACUGGUUCUGGUGUUGGUGCCACUGGUGCUGGUACUGGUGCUGGUGAUGGUGCCACUGGUGCUGGUGUUGGUGCCACUGGUGAUGGUACCACUGGUGCUGGUACUGGUGCUGCUGUUGGUGCCACUGGUGCUGGUACUGGUGCCACUGGUGAUGGUACCACUGGUGCUGGUACUGGUGAUGGUGCCACUGGUGUUGGUGCCACUGGUGCUGGUAAUGGUGAUGGUUCCACUGGUGCUGGUACUGGUUCUGGUGUUGGUGCCACUGGUGCUGGUACUGGUGCUGGUGAUGGUGCCACUGGUGCUGGUACUGGUGAUGGUGCCACUGGUCUUGGUGCCACUGGUGCUGGUACUGGUGCUGCUGUUGGUGCCACUGGUGCUGGUACUGGUGAUGGUGCCACUGGUGCUGGUACUGGUGAUGGUGCCACUGGUGUUGGUGCCACUGGUGCUGGUACUGGUGAUGGUGCCACUGGUGCUGGUACUGGUGCUGGUGUUGGUGCCACUGGUGCUGGUGCCACUGGUACUGGUGAUGGUGCCACUGGUGCUGGUGUUGGUGCCACUGGUGUUGGUGCCACUGGUGCUGGUACUGGUGAUGGUUCCACUGGUGCUGGUACUGGUUCUGGUGUUGGUGCCACUGGUGCUGGUACUGGUGCUGGUGAUGGUGCCACUGGUGCUGGUGUUGGUGCCACUGGUGCUGGUGUUGGUGCCACUGGUGCUGGUGCCACUGGUGCUGGUGAUGGUGCCACUGGUGCUGGUGCCACUGGUACUGGUGCUGGUGUUGGUGCCACUGGUGCUGGUGUUGGUGCCACUGGUGCUGGUGCCACUGGUACUGGUGAUGGUGCCACUGGUGCUGGUACUGGUUCUGGUGUUGGUGCCACUGGUGCUGGUACUGGUGCUGGUGUCGGUGCCACUGGUGCUGGUGUUGGUGCCACUGGUGCUGGUGCCACUGGUGCUGGUGCUGGUGCUGGUGAUGUUGCCACUGGUGAUGGUGUUGGUGUUGGUGAUGGUACUGGUACUGGUGAUGGUGAUGGUGCCACUGGUGCUGGUGCUGGUGCCACUGGUGAUGGUACCACUGGUGCUGGUGCCACUGGUGCUGGUACUGGUGCUGGUGUUGGUGCCACUGGUGCUGGUACUGGUGAUGGUGCCACUGGUGCUGGUGUUGGUGCCACUGGUGCUGGUACUGGUGAUGGUGCAACUGGUGAUGGUGCCACUGGUACUGGUACUGGUGAUGGUGCCACUGGUGCUGGUACUGGUGAUGGUGCCAUUGGUGCUGGUACUGGUGCUGGUGUUGGUGCCACUGGUGCUAGUACUGGUGAUGGUUCCACUGGUGUUGGUGCCACUGGUGCUGGUACUGGUGAUGGUGCCACUGGUGCUGGUACUGGUGAUGGUGCCACUGGUGUUGGUGCCACUGGUGCUGGUACUGGUGAUGGUGCCACUGGUGCUGGUACUGGUGAUGGUGCCACUGGUGUUGGUGCCACUGGUGUUGGUGCCACUGGUGCUGGUACUGGUGAUGGUGCCACUGGUGUUGGUGCCACUGGUGCUGGUACUGGUGAUGGUGCCACUGGUGUUGGUGCCACUGAUGUUGGUGCCACUGGUGCUGGUACUGGUGAUGGUGCCACUGGUGUUGGUGCCACUGGUGCUGGUACUGGUGUUGGUGCCACUGGUGCUGGUGCCACUGGUACUGGUGAUGGUGCCACUGGUGCUGGUGUUGGUGCCACUGGUGUUGGUGCCACUGGUGCUGGUACUGGUGAUGGUUCCACUGGUGCUGGUACUGGUUCUGGUGAUGGUGCCACUGGUGCUGGUGUUGGUGCCACUGGUGCUGGUGCCACUGGUGCUGGUGUUGGUGCCACUGGUGCUGGUGCCACUGGUGCUGGUGCUGGUGCCACUGGUGCUGGUGUUGGUGCCACUGGUGUUGGUGCCACUGGUGCUGGUGCUGGUGAUGGUGCCACUGGUGCUGGUACUGGUUCUGGUGUUGGUGCCACUGGUGCUGGUGUUGGUGCCACUGGUGCUGGUGCCACUGGUGCUGGUGUUGGUGCCACUGGUGCUGGUGCCACUGGUGCUGGUGUUGGUGCCACUGGUGUUGGUGCCACUGGUGCUGGUACUGGUGCUGGUGAUGGUGAUGGUGCCACUGGUGCUGGUGUUGGUGCCGCUGGUGUUGGUGCCACUGGUGCUGGUGCUGGUGCUGGUGUUGGUGCCACUGGUGCUGGUGCCACUGGUGAUGGUGCCACUGGUGCUGGUACUGGUGAUGGUGAUGGUGCCACUGGUACUGGUGCCACUGGUGAUGGUACCACUGGUGCUGGUACUGGUGCUGGUGAUGGUGCAACUGGUGUUGGUGCCACUGGUGCUGGUGCCACUGGUGCUGGUGCCACUGGUGUUGGUGCCACUGGUGAUGGUGCCACUGGUGCUGGUGCCACUGGUGUUGGUGCCACUGGUGCUGGUACUGGUGCUGGUGAUGGUGCAACUGGUGCUGGUACUGGUGCUGGUGAUGGUGCCACUGGUGUUGGUGCCACUGGUGCUGGUGCCACUGGUGUUGGUGCCACUGGUGCUGGUGCCACUGGUGCUGGUGCCACUGGUGUUGGUGCCACUGGUGCUGUUACUGGUGCUGGUGAUGGUGCAACUGGUGAUGGUGCCACUGGUGCUGGUGCCACUGGUGCUGUUACUGGUGCUGGUGAUGGUGCAACUGGUGAUGGUGCCACUGGUGUUGGUGCCACUGGUGCUGUUACUGGUGCUGGUGAUGGUGCAACUGGUGAUGGUGCCACUGGUGUUGGUGCCACUGGUGCUGGUACUGGUGCUGGUGAUGGUGCCACUGGUGCUGGUGUUGGUGCCGCUGGUGUUGGUGCCACUGGUGCUGGUGCUGGUGCUGGUGUUGGUGCCACUGGUGCUGGUGCCACUGGUGCUGGUGUUGGUGCCACUGGUGCUGGUGCUGGUGCUGGUGUUGGUGCCACUGGUGCUGGUGCCACUGGUGAUGGUGCCACUGGUGCUGGUACUGGUGAUGGUGAUGGUGCCACUGGUACUGGUGCCACUGGUGAUGGUACCACUGGUGCUGGUACUGGUGCUGGUGAUGGUGCAACUGGUGUUGGUGCCACUGGUGCUGGUGCCACUGGUGCUGGUGCCACUGGUGUUGGUGCCACUGGUGAUGGUGCCACUGGUGCUGGUGCCACUGGUGUUGGUGCCACUGGUGCUGGUACUGGUGCUGGUGAUGGUGCAACUGGUGCUGGUACUGGUGCUGGUGAUGGUGCCACUGGUGUUGGUGCCACUGGUGCUGGUGCCACUGGUGUUGGUGCCACUGGUGCUGGUGCCACUGGUGCUGGUGCCACUGGUGUUGGUGCCACUGGUGCUGGUACUGGUGCUGGUGAUGGUGCAACUGGUGAUGGUGCCACUGGUGCUGGUGCCACUGGUGUUGGUGCCACUGGUGCUGGUACUGGUGCUGGUGAUGGUGCCACUGGUGCUGGUGUUGGUGCCGCUGGUGUUGGUGCCACUGGUGCUGGUGCUGGUGCUGGUGUUGGUGCCACUGGUGCUGGUGCCACUGGUGCUGGUGUUGGUGCCACUGGUGUUGGUGCCACUGGUGCUGGUACUGGUGAUGGUGCAACUGGUGAUGGUGCAACUGGUGAUGGUGCCACUGGUGCUGGUACUGGUUCUGGUGCCACUGGUGCUGGUACUGGUGCUGGUGCUGCUGCCACUGGUGCUGGUGCCACUGGUGUUGGCGCCACUGGUGCUGGUCACAACCUUCCACCUCAACAGUCACCAGGACCCAGGAGGUUUACCUUGGGUGGCCCCUUGGAGGCCCUAA
rnacentral:lncRNA from 1 species